UACGUAGGGUGCAAGCGUUGUCCGGAAUUAUUGGGCGUAAAGAGCUCGUAGGCGGUCUGUUACGUCGGCUGUGAAAACCUGGGGCUCAACUCCGGGCCUGCAGCCGAUACGGGCAGACUAGAGUUCGGCAGGGGAGACUGGAAUUCCUGGUGUAGCGGUGAAAUGCGCAGAUAUCAGGAGGAACACCGGUGGCGAAGGCGGGUCUCUGGGCCGAAACUGACGCUGAGGAGCGAAAGUGUGGGGAGCGAACAGG
rnacentral:rRNA from 1 species